rnacentral:rRNA from 1 species
UACGUAGGGUGCGAGCGUUGUCCGGAAUUACUGGGCGUAAAGAGCUCGUAGGUGGUUUGUCGCGUUGUUCGUGAAAACUCACAGCUCAACUGUGGGCGUGCGGGCGAUACGGGCAGACUGGAGUACUGCAGGGGAGACUGGAAUUCCUGGUGUAGCGGUGGAAUGCGCAGAUAUCAGGAGGAACACCGGUGGCGAAAGCGGGUCUCUGGGCAGUAACUGACGCUGAGGAGCGAAAGCGUGGGGAGCGAACAGG